AAAAAAAUAGAGAUUAGAAAAAGUAAAAAGGAAAUUAUCUUUUAGAGAGCUAAGGUUUGGUGGGACUUAGUAGAUAAUCUUUUGAAGGCAGUCUAUGAAUUUUUUUACUGAGAACUAAGUUUUAAUACUUAAAUAGGUAAAAACGAAUUCCAAACGUUAUAUUGGAUAAUGAGAGAAGAAAAAUUUUUUUCUUCUGAAUUAGGGUGGUACCACGAAAUAUUCGUCCCUUUC
rnacentral:ncRNA from 1 species